GUGCUAAUGUGGGCGCUUGACCUUCAGCCUAUGUUCACUGAUCCUUUCUCUGUCUAAGGUAUGGUAAGGCUAAGAGGUCCUCUGAAAUGGUGAGAUGCCACUUGGAGGGAGAUGUGUUGGCCUCCUGGCUGGGGAAUGUGUAUGCGGAACACAAGGCGUACACGUGUAUUCUUCCGC